rnacentral:lncRNA from 1 species
UGGUGGAGGUUGUUCAUGAGUUUUUGUCGGCUAUCGCCACAAAGGAGCACUUCUUAGGACUAAAUGACUGGAUGGAGGCUUAGAGGUUGAUUCCUAGAGUUUGGAUUAUGUGAAUUUGGGGUUCUUGUGUAUGAGUUGUUGCAAAGAAAUUAGAAUUGGACGAAAAGUUUAGGUUAUAAUGAAGUUGAUUUAGUUAGGGAAGGUGAACUUUUGGAAUUAUGGGAUAAUUUGGAUGAAUUUUUUUAUUCUUCUUGUACAUUUAACCAAUAUAAAAAAUGGCAUUUUCUAUACCGAUCCUAGAAUCGAUAUAAAAAGUCAAUAAUUUUU